UAGGUAGCCAAUCUCCACAAUUUUGCCCA
rnacentral:piRNA from 1 species